rnacentral:rRNA from 1 species
CCCUUAGAUGUUCUGGGCUGCACACGUGCUACACUGGCAGGUUCAGCGAGCUUCAUGCCCUGAUCUGACAGGAAUGGGAAAUCUUUUCAAAACCUGCCGUGCUUGGGAUAGAUGUUUGCAAUUAUUCAUCUUCAACGAGGAUUGCCUUGUAAGCGCACGUCAUCAGCGUGCAUUGAAUACGACCCUGUAUUCUGUACACACCGCCCGUCGCUCCUACCGAUUGAAGUUUUCGGUGAGUUGACAGGAGGAUUUUUUUGAAACUGGUUCGCCAGUGGAUUUUAGAUCCAAAUGCCAACGAAUCGAUGGCUUUAGAGGAAGGAGAAGUCGUAACA